CCCUGUGGGGAGAGACGAAUAAGUGCCGCCUAAUACGUUGCAUGAUGACGGUAUCUCCUUAGCAAGCACCGGCUAACUCUGUGC
rnacentral:rRNA from 1 species